UUAGGGAAUAUUGGACAAUGGGGGCAACCCUGAUCUAGCGACGCCGCGUGAGUGAUGAAGGCCUUCGGGUCGUAAAGCUCUGUUGCAGGGGAAGAACACAAUGACGGUACCCUGCUAGAAAGGAUCGGCUAACUUCGUGCCAGCAGCCGCGGUAAGACGAGGGAUCCUAGCGUUGUUCGGAAUUAUUGGGCGUAAAGCGGGUGCAGGUGGCUUGGUAAGUCAGAUGUGAAAGCCUGGGGCUUAACCCCAGAAGUGCAUUUGAUACUGCUGAGCUUGAGUGCUGGAGAGGCUAUUAGAAUUCCUGGUGUAGUGGUGAAAUACGUAGAUAUCAGGAGGAAUACCGGAGGCGAAGGCGGAUAGCUGGCCAGACACUGACACUCAGACCCGAAAGCGUGGGGAUCAAACAGGAUUAGAAACCCGGGUAGUCC
rnacentral:rRNA from 1 species